rnacentral:rRNA from 1 species
UACGGGGGGGGCAAGCGUUGUUCGGAAUUACUGGGCGUAAAGGGCGCGUAGGCGGCCUUCUAAGUCGGACGUGAAAUCCCUCGGCUUAACCGAGGAACUGCGUCCGAUACUGAAAGGCUUGAAUCCGGGAGAGGGAUGUGGAAUUCCAGGUGUAGCGGUGAAAUGCGUAGAUAUCUGGAGGAACACCGGUGGCGAAGGCGGCAUCCUGGACCGGUACUGACGCUGAGGAGCGAAAGCGUGGGGAGCAAACAGG